rnacentral:rRNA from 1 species
UUCGCAAUGCCCGAAAGGGUGACGAAGCGACGCCGCGUGUGGGAAGAAGGCCUUCGGGUUGUAAACCACUGUCGGGAGUUAAGAAAUGUAAGGGUGUUAAUAGCGCCUUUACUUGACAAAGGCUCCGGAGGAAGCCACGGCUAACUCUGUGCCAGCAGCCGCGGUAAUACAGAGGCGGCAAGCGUUGUUCGGAAUUAUUGGGCGUAAAGAGCACGUAGGCGGCUUUGCAAGUCAGUUGUGAAAGCCUUCCGCUUAACGGAAGAACAGCAGCUGAUACUACAGAGCUUGAGUACGGGAGGGGAGAGUGGAACUUCUGGUGGAGCGGUGAAAUGCGUAGAUAUCAGAAGGAACGCCGGCGGCGAAAGCGAUUCUCUGGUCCGAAACUGACGCUGAGUGUGCGAAAGCUAGGGGAUCAAACGGGAUUAGAUACCCCGGUAGCCCUAGCCGUAAACGAUGGGCACUAAGUAGAGGGGUUUU